rnacentral:ncRNA from 1 species
CACCACUCUGGAGAGUCUCAGCAAUGAGCGCCGAAGGUGCAAGGGCGGCAGCGUAUCCCGCCCGGUCUCUCAGGCAAAAGGACAGAGCU